GCUUAACACAUGCAAGUCGUGGGGAAACGGCAUUAUGUGCUUGCACAUUCUGGACGUCGACCGGCGCACGGGUGAGUAUCGCGUAUCCAACCUGCCCCUUACUUGGGGAUACCCCGUUGAAAGACGGCCUAAUACCCGAUGUGUUUCAUUGACGGCAUCCGAUAUGAAACAAAGGUUUUCCGGUAAGGGAUGGGGAUGCGUCUGAUUAGCUUGUUGGCGGGGCAACGGCCCACCAAGGCGACGAUCAGUAGGGGUUCUGAGAGGAAGGUCCCCCACAUUGGAACUGAGACACGGUCCAAACUCCUACGGGAGGCAGCAGUGAGGAAUAUUGGUCAAUGGACGCAAGUCUGAACCAGCCAAGUAGCGUGCAGGAUGACGGCCCUAUGGGUUGUAAACUGCUUUUAUGUGGGAAUAAAGUGGCGCACGUGUGCGCCAUUGCAUGUACCUCAUGAAUAAGGACCGGCUAAUUCCGUGCCAGCAGCCGCGGUAAUACGGAAGGUCCGGGCGUUAUCCGGAUUUAUUGGGUUUAAAGGGAGUGUAGGCGGUCUGUUAAGCGUGUUGUGAAAUUUAGGUGCUCAACAUUUAACUUGCAGCGCGAACUGUCAGACUUGAGUACACGCAGCGCAGGCGGAAUUCAUGGUGUAGCGGUGAAAUGCUUAGAUAUCAUGAGGAACUCCGAUCGCGAAGGCAGCCUGCGGGAGUGUUACUGACGCUUAAGCUCGAAGGUGCGGGUAUCGAACAGGAUUAGAUACCCUGGUAGUCC
rnacentral:rRNA from 1 species